GAUGAACGCUGGCGGCGUGCCUAAUACAUGCAAGUUGUGCGGUAACAGAGAGAGCUUGCUCUCUGCUGACGAGCGGCGGACGGGCAGAGUAACGCGUAGGAACAUACCCCAAACUGAGGGAUAACUGCUCGAAAGAGUAGCUAAUACCGCAUGUGGUCUUCGGAUUAAAGCUUCGGCGGUUUGGGAGUGGCCUGCGUCCGAUUAGCUAGUUGGUGAGGUAAUUGCUCACCAAGGCGACGAUCGGUAGCUGGUCUGAGAGGAUGAUCAGCCUGACUGGAACUGAGAACGGUCCAGACUCCUACGGGAGGCAGCAGUAGGGAAUUUUCCACAAUGGGCGAAAGCCUGAUGGAGCAACGCCGCGUGCAGGAUGAAUGCCUUCGGGUUGUAAACUGCUUUUCUGUGUGAAGAAUAUGACGGUAACACAGGAAUAAGGGUCGGCUAACUACGUGCCAGCAGCCGCG
rnacentral:rRNA from 1 species